rnacentral:rRNA from 1 species
GACGAACGCUGGCGGCGUGCUUAACACAUGCAAGUCGAACGAAGAGCGAUGGAAGCUUGCUUCUAUCAAUCUUAGUGGCGAACGGGUGAGUAACGCGUAAUCAACCUGCCCUUCAGAGGGGGACAACAGUUGGAAACGACUGCUAAUACCGCAUACGAUCUAAUCUCGGCAUCGAGGAUAGAUGAAAGGUGGCCUCUACAUGUAAGCUAUCACUGAAGGAGGGGAUUGCGUCUGAUUAGCUAGUUGGAGGGGUAACGGCCCACCAAGGCGAUGAUCAGUAGCCGGUCUGAGAGGAUGAACGGCCACAUUGGGACUGAGACACGGCCCAGACUACUACGGGAGGCAGCAGUGGGGAAUCUUCCGCAAUAGACGAAAGUCUGACGGAGCAACGCCGCGUGAGCGAUGACGGCCUUCGGGUUGUAAAGCUCUGUUAAUCGGGACGAAAGGCCUUCUUGCGAAUAGUGAGAAGGAUUGACGGUACCGGAAGAGAAAGCCACGGCUAACUACGUG